GCCAGGCAGACACGUACAGCUAACAAUGCUUCCAUACAACAAACAUGACAAAUAUAGUUGAGCCUAUUGCUUAUAGUUUAAGAAAAUAGACCAAACACAAAAACUUAACACUGAGCAAUGAACCGUGAAAACCAGGUCAAGGUCAAAUAAAACCUGCACGACUGACAUAUAGAUCAUAAAAUAUUUCCAUACACCAAAUAUAGUUGACCUAUGACAUAUAGUAUUAGAUAAAAAGACCAAAACUC
rnacentral:lncRNA from 1 species